UACAGAGACUGCAAGCGUUAUUCGGAUUCACUGGGCGUAAAGGGUGCGCAGGCGGCCAAGUGUGUGAGGCGUGAAAGCCCGGGGCUUAACCCCGGAAUUGCACCUCAAACUACAUGGCUAGAGCAUUGGAGAGGGUAGCGGAAUUCACGGUGUAGCAGUGAAAUGCGUAGAUAUCGUGAGGAACACCGGAGGCGAAGGCGGCUACCUGGACAAUUGCUGACGCUCAGGCACGAAAGCGUGGGGAGCAAAAGGG
rnacentral:rRNA from 1 species